rnacentral:rRNA from 1 species
GACGAACGCUGGCGGCGUGCUUAACACAUGCAAGUCGAACGGAAAGGCCCUGCUUUUGUGGGGUGCUCGAGUGGCGAACGGGUGAGUAACACGUGAGUAACCUGCCCUUGACUUUGGGAUAACUUCAGGAAACUGGGGCUAAUACCGGAUAGGAGCUCCUGCUGCAUGGUGGGGGUUGGAAAGUUUCGGCGGUUGGGGAUGGACUCGCGGCUUAUCAGCUUGUUGGUGGGGUAGUGGCUUACCAAGGCUUUGACGGGUAGCCGGCCUGAGAGGGUGACCGGCCACAUUGGGACUGAGAUACGGACCAGACUCCUACGGGAGGCAACAGUGGGGAAUAUUGCACAAUGGGCGGAAGCCUGAUGCAGCAACGCCGCGUGCGGGAUGACGGCCUUCUGGUUGUAAACCGCUUUCGCCUGUGACGAAGCGUGAGUGACGGUAAUGGGUAAAGAAGCACCGGCUAACUACGUG